rnacentral:rRNA from 1 species
AGAGUUUGAUCAUGGCUCAGGAUGAACGCUAGCUACAGGCUUAACACAUGCAAGUCGAGGGGAAACGACAUCGAAAGCUUGCUUUUGAUGGGUGUCGACCGGCGCACGGGUGAGUAACGCGUAUCCAACCUGCCCACCACUUGGGGAUAACCUUGCGAAAGUAAGACUAAUACCCAAUGACGUCUCUAGAAGACAUCUGAAAGAGAUUAAAGAUUUAUCGGUGAUGGAUGGGGAUGCGUCUGAUUAGCUUGUUGGCGGGGUAACGGCCCACCAAGGCGACGAUCAGUAGGGGUUCUGAGAGGAAGGCCCCCCACAUUGGAACUGAGACACGGUCCAAACUCCUACGGGAGCAGCA